AGAGUUUGAUCAUGGCUCAGAACGAACGCUGGCGGCGUGGAUAAGACAUGCAAGUCGAACGGGACUUCUUUUGGUAGCAAUACCGAGAGAAGUUUAGUGGCGAACGGGUGCGUAACACGUGGGCAAUCUGCCGAGAAGUGGGGGAUAGCUCGCCGAAAGGCGAAUUAAUACCGCAUAUGAUCAGGGAAGACAUCUUUCCAACAUCAAAGCCGGGGCAACCUGGCGCUUCUUGAUGAGCCCGCGGCCUAUCAGCUAGUUGGUGAGGUAACGGCCCACCAAGGCGAUGACGGGUAGCUGGUCUGAGAGGACGACCAGUCACACUGGAACUGAGACACGGUCCAGACACCUACGGGUGGCAGCAGUCGAGAAUUUUUCUCAAUGGGGGAAACCCUGAAGGAGCGACGCCGCGUGGAGGAUGAAGGCUUUCGGGUUGUAAACUCCUGUCAUUUGGGAACAAUGCUUUCCAAUUAACUGUUGGAAAGUUGAUAGUACCAGAAGAGGAAGAGACGGCUAACUCUGUGCCAGCAGCCGCGGUAAUACAGAGGUCUCAAGCGUUGUUCGGAUUCAUUGGGCGUAAAGGGUGCGUAGGUGGCGUGGUAAGUCGGGUGUGAAAUUUCGGAGCUUAACUCCGAAACUGCAUUCGAUACUGCCGUGCUUUGAGGACUGGAGAGGAGACUGGAAUUUACGGUGUAGCAGUGAAAUGCGUAGAGAUCGUAAGGAAGACCAGUGGCGAAGGCGGGUCUCUGGACAGUUCCUGACACUGAGGCACGAAGGCCAGGGGAGCAAACGGGAUUAGAUACCCUAGUAGUCC
rnacentral:rRNA from 1 species